GACGAACGCUGGCGGCGUGCUUAACACAUGCAAGUCGAACGGUAAGGCCCUUCGGGGUACACGAGUGGCGAACGGGUGAGUAACACGUGGGUGAUCUGCCCUGCACUUCGGGAUAAGCCUGGGAAACUGGGUCUAAUACCGGAUAGGACUCCGGACUGCAUGGUCUGGGGUGGAAAGCUUUUGCGGUGUGGGAUGGGCCCGCGGCCUAUCAGCUUGUUGGUGGGGUGAUGGCCUACCAAGGCGACGACGGGUAGCCGGCCUGAGAGGGUGACCGGCCACACUGGGACUGAGACACGGCCCAGACUCCUACGGGAGGCAGCAGUGGGGAAUUUUGGACAAUGGGGGCAACCCUGAUCCAGCAAUGCCGCGUGAGGGAUGACGGCCUUCGGGUUGUAAACCUCUUUUAGUAGGGAAGAAGCGAAAGUGACGGUACCUGCAGAAAAAGCACCGGCUAACUACGUGCCAGCAGCCGCGGUAA
rnacentral:rRNA from 1 species